rnacentral:misc_RNA from 1 species
AGGCCCUGGAAAACUAUCAUUUACAGUCAGCAUGCUCUUUGUGCUACACAGCCUUGUAAAAUUAGUUUCCUUGAGAACGAAGUCAUAGUAAUGGAUGGCACCCUCUGCCAAGCCAUAAUGCAGACUAGCCAGGCAAAUAUAAGAUACCAAUACAAACCAAGGGAUUGCUUUCAUUUUGUGAGUUGAUAUCUUCAAUAAAUAAUGAAGCUCUCUCCUCU